GUUCCUGGUGAUGGAUGAUAAACCAUGCUAAUACUGAAUAUCUUGUGAUUGAUAUCGAUUUUUCGAAAUUAUCUGAAGGAAUA